UCGGUAGGCCCUGGGUAAAGUCUUACAGGCAACCAUUCCUUGUCUUUGUGAGCUACAGAUAACAGCUCUUUUGCCAAGCUUAAAGGCUCCAUAUCUCAGCCAUGGCCCAUGCACUGCUCUUAAAUCUUAUUUAAUUAGCGGACCUUACUGGGGACAGUACGCUGCCUGGAAGCAGGGUUUGCCUGAGAGGUUAGGUCGAGGGCAAAAACAACCCCUCCUUUCCUCUGACAUAAGUCUUCUUUCUUGACUCAUGUUGUUGGUAUUAGCAGGCAGAGAGACAGAGGAGAAAACGUGGACGGUGCUCUUUACCUUCUUUGUCCGAUGUUUCAUUUAACCGAAAGGUAGUUGGCGUUAGUUAAUACAAGUAACGGAGUUGAAAAGAUAUAACUAUAAAAUGACGGAACAGUCCUCGUUGUUACUGCGUAAACAACUAGCAGAACUCAACAAGAACCCAGUGGAAGGGUUUUCUGCAGGUCUCGUAGAUGAUGAUGACAUCUAUCAAUGGGAGGUGGUUGUCAUAGGACCUCAGGACACAUUAUUUGAAGGAGGUUUCUUCAAAGCCACCUUAACCUUUCCCCGUGACUAUCCUUUGAGGCCUCCCAAGAUGAAGUUCAUCACAGAAAUCUGGCAUCCAAAUGUGGCAAAAAAUGGCGAUGUUUGCAUCUCUAUCCUACAUGAACCUGGCGAGGACAAGUACGGCUACGAGAAGCCUGAGGAGCGUUGGCUGCCAAUCCAUACAGUGGAGACCAUAAUGAUCAGUGUUAUAUCCAUGUUGGCAGACCCCAAUGGAGACUCUCCUGCCAAUGUGGAUGCAGCUGUAAGUGCCUGCUCAAGCUGGGAAAGAGUGGAGGGAGGAUCCUACUGGAGUUUUUAAGAAAAAGGUGGCCAGAUGUGUGCGAAGGAGUCAAGAGAUGGCUUUUGACUAAAGCCUCACUCUGGUCAUCAACACAGUUGGAACUACACUGAGGAUUUGACAACUGGUUACACCUCAGUCAGCUAGAUGACCAUGGGGCACAAUUUUAUCAGCAUCAAAUAGUCACCCAAAGAAGAGACUCACAGGAAAAAAGUUUAUAAACCCAUGAAUAAUUUAGUACCAUCAGCUGCGCUUCUUUUGAGCAGUCACAGAGUUCUCUACUAAUAUUGCAUCAACUGCUUUGCAGUUUGUUUUUUUUUUUUUUUUUGAAUAAUGUUGAAUGGCAGUGACAUUCAUGCUGCCAAAUGUUCCCAUUUUACUUUUGUUUUCCCUGCUCAGUUGGACAAGGCAGUCUCUGUUCAAAAAUCAGUAUUUCACUCACAGGAAGAUGAAUUAUACAUGUUCGUUCUUUUUUUUUUUUUCUUUUGUGCAUACCUUUUGGGAAAAAAUACCCCCUCUGAUAGAUGCACCAUUUCCAAACUUGGUUUACUUUGUAUGUACCUAUUUAUUUAGACUAUUUUAAGAUGGAUAUUGUCUGUUUUGGAUGCUUUUCUUUUUAUUUUCAACCUGCCACACUGAGCCAUUCAGUCUAUUGUUUAAUAAUCAAUUAUGCAGUUUUGGAGUGUUUGCAGUCAUUAAAGAGAUGGAGAUGAAGACACUGGCUUUCCUUUCCUGCAAAUUCUAAGAGUUCCGCAGAGAGUGUUUCUUCUUUCCCUGAGGGGGAAGCUUAUCAUCCAGCGCUGCCUUAACUGUGACUGCAAUGGAAGGAAACCUAUUUUCAAUAAGGACUGCAUCUGAGGGCUUUGUUUUGAAGGCAGAAAAAAAGAGAACAUUGUGGAGAAACCAAAGAGAACACACCAAUAAAUAUAUUUUGUAAUGAACAUGCUACAUUUUUACCUAUGUAAAUAUUAACUAUUUGUCCUUGUAAUUGAACACGUUCAGAGAAAAUGCAUCCAUCUUUCCUAAGGAGAGGUAGUGUUGUCAUAGUUAAGUGGCACUUCAAAUACUACCCAUUAAAUGACCUCCUGAUCAACUGACUCAUCAGGGCUGAAGAGAAGUAAUAACAUUUUAUGCCUAAUAAGGACAUCGUUUGAGUAAUGGGUAUGCAGCUUUACCCACUUUUGAGGUCAAUGAAUGUUAGAUUGUGAAAACAAGUAAUAAAGCUCAAUGUGGACAUUGAUUGAUUUGGUGAAAUGUUUGUACCGCUAUAAUAUAAAAGUUGGUCUUCAUUCUCAAGCUGAUGUGUGUGCAUCUCACCGAAAUACAAAUUCUUUCAGAGCUACCGAUAAUAAA